rnacentral:rRNA from 1 species
AUGGACGGUGGCAGCAGCCUGAACCUGCUCUAUCAAGAUACAGUGCGCAAAAUGGGUAUAGACCCCUCAAGGAUCAAACCCACAAAAACCACCUUCAAAGGUGUCAUACCAGGUGUAGAGGCCUGUUGCACGGGCUCAAUCACACUGGAAGGGGUCUUAGGAUCUCCGGACAACUUCCAAAGCGAGGAAUUAAUCUUCGAUAUCGUUCCCUUCCGCAGUGGGUAUCACACACUACUCGGACGAACCGCAUUUUCUAGGUUCAAUGCGGUACCGCAUUAUGCAUACCUCAAGCUCAAAAUUCCAGGACCUCACGGGGUUAUAACAGUUAAUGGAAACACAGAACGCUCGCUCCGUACGGAGGAGCACACUGCGGCCCUCGAGGCAGAAGUGCAAAGCAGCCUUCUGAGACAAGCCGCCAAUUCGGCGACAAAAGCCUCGGACACCUUCAAGCGAGUCCGGAGUACCCUGCAACAGGAUCGCCCGGCACGUUCAGAGCUCGGCUAG